AUAUAUAUAAAAAAGAGGUGAGAAGGGUAUAAAAAUUUUAAAUGAAAAACAUUGCUUAGAAUAGAAUAAAAUCCCAUUGUGGAUUCAGCAAUAUAUCUUGCUCUUAAAAAUUUGUUCUGCCAUUUUUCUGUGACAUUAGAAUUUUCAUCAGCAAUAAACUUACAUUUUUUCAUAUAUUAAAAAAAUUAGAGGUGAUGACAAAGUUUAAUGUUAAAGAUAAGAAAGGCAAUGGGUUGAAAGUCAAGGCAAUUGUGACUAACAAUGUCAGAGGAAGCCACUCUAAUGCCAAAUCAUUCUGAUAUUCUCCUCUUUUCAACCGUUACCCGGAAAGCUCAUAUAUAGUUUUUUAAGAUUAAAUGGUAAAUUCCUUUUCUAUUUUAGAAUUGCCAAUAAAUGACUGAUAAAAAUGAGAAAAAAAUCAGAAGAGAAGAAUAUGAUGGAAAAAAAAAAGAAGAAAAUCUAGUUAUUUUGGAGCUGGCACCACAAAGAAGGAAAAGGAAAGUGAUGGUGGAUAUAAGAAACAUAAGAAGGAAAGGCAAUGUGGAAUACCUGGGACAUCUCAGAGGAAAGAUUUUGUGACUGAGACAACAAAAUAACUUCAACAUAUAGGAUGUGCAAAAAGAAAAUGUAGAUACAAUUCAAGGAAGUUUUAACAAACAGUAUGUAAACUUGAAUUCAAGGACUUAUUUGCAUGGUUAAAUGAGUUUAAGCAUCACUUGAAUUAAUGCUCUCAUUCUUAGGUUAGACUCCUGAGAUAACCCUGCUGGAUAGUUAGCAGACAUCUUAGCAUUGUUGUUAUGUAUGCUAAAGUUGUACUUAACUUCUAAU
rnacentral:lncRNA from 1 species